rnacentral:rRNA from 1 species
UACGGAAGGCAGCAGUGGGGAAUAUUGCACAAUGGGCGAAAGCCUGAUGCAGCUAUGCCGCGUGUAUGAAGAAGGCCUUAGGGUUGUAAAGUACUUUCAUCGGGGAGGAAAAACAAAACUAAUAAUUUUAUUUCUUGACGUUACCCGAAAAAGAAGCACCGGCUAACUCCGUGCCAGCAGCCGCGGUAAUACGGAGGGUGCUAGCGUUAAUCAGAAUUACUGGGCGUAAAGAGCACGUAGGUGGUUUUUUUAAAGUCAGAUGUGAAAUUCCCUGGGCUUAACCUAGGAACUGCAUUUUGAAACUGAAAUACUAGAGUAUCGUAGAGGGAGGUAGAAUUCUAGGUGUAGCGGUGAAAUGCGUAGAUAUCUGGAGGAUACCUGUGGCGAAAGCGGCCUCCUAAACGAAUACUGACACUGAGGUGCGAAAGCGUGGGGAGCAAACAGGGAUUAGAUACC